AAGUUUCAAAUUGACACUCUAGGCAAGCGGUGCCUGAGCCCGUGCCUGUCUUCAGAUCUUCACAGCACAGUUCCUGGGAAGGUGGAGCCACCAGCCUCUCCCUGGGCAAAGAGGCAGCGAAAUGGAGCUCAGAGCUUUUAGAGAAUAUGGGCCAGAAACAGGAAGGAGUCAGGGCCUGAUAACAGGAACCAGCGGACAGUGAACGCAGUGGAGGGCCAUUGGAGUCAGAGCAGCUGAGAGAUUUCAGGAGAAUAACUGGGAGAUGAAACAGGAAGCUCUAUGACACACUUGAUCGAAUAUGACAGACACCGAAAAUCACGACUCAGCCCCCUCCAGCACCUCUACCUGUUGCCCGCCGAUCACAGCCAGAAUGCAGCUGAAAGAUUCCCUGGGGCCUGGUUCCAACCGCCCGCUGUGGACUCUGAGGCCUCUGCAUUUGCGGGUGGUCUGCCUGUGA
rnacentral:lncRNA from 1 species